UGGGGAAUAUUGCACAAUGGGGGAAAUCCUGAUGCAGCGACGCCGCGUGAGCGAAGAAGGUUUUCGAAUCGUAAAGCUCUGUCCUAUGAGAAGAUAAUGACGGUAUCAUAGGAGGAAGCCCCGGCUAAAUACGUGCCAGCAGCCGCGGUAAUACGUAUGGGGCGAGCGUUGUCCGGAAUUAUUGGGCGUAAAGGGUACGUAGGCGGUCUAUUAAGUCAGGUGUGAAAGCGUGACGCUUAACCUCAUUAAGCACUUGAAACUGAUAGACUUGAGUAAAAGAGAGGAAAGUGGAAUUCCUAGUGUAGCGGUGAAAUGCGUAGAUAUUAGGAGGAAUACCGGUGGCGAAGGAGGCUUUCUGGACUUUUACUGACGCUCAGGUACGAAAGCGUGGGGAGCAAACAGG
rnacentral:rRNA from 1 species